AUGAAGAUAACAGCUUGGAACUGCCGGGGAUUGGGGAAUGGCCCGACAGUUCAGGGACUUCUGGACCUCCAGAAGCAGGUGGACCCUGAUGUACUAUUUAUAUCUGAGACAAAAAUGAGUGAAAACAGGAUGACUUGGUUCAAGAGUGUGAUGGGGAUGUCAAGCAUGAUUGUGAGGGAUUGUGAAGGGAAAAGUGGUGGCCUGGUCCUAUUGUGGAAAAGACAUGUCAAAGUGGAACUCCACAAUUAUUCCAAAUAUUAUGUGGAUGUGCAGAUCGUCGAGAAAGACGGCUUCAAGUGGAGAUUCACCGGAAUUUAUGGAGAACCGGCAGCAGACAAAAAAGAGAGGACAUGGUGA
rnacentral:rRNA from 1 species